AUUGAACGCUGGCGGCAUGCCUUACACAUGCAAGUCGAACGGUAACGGGCCUUCGGGUGCCGACGAGUGGUGGACGGGUGAGUAAUACAAAGGAACGUGCACGCUAGCGGGGGAAAACGAGGAGAAAGCUUUGCUAAUACCGCAUACGAUCUACGGAUGUAAACAGGGGACCGCAAGGCCUAGCGCGGACGGAGCGGCCGAUGGCAGAUUAGGUAGUUGGUGGGUUAAAAGCUUACCAAGCCGACGAUCUGUAGCUGGUCUGAGAGGAUGAUCAGCCACACUGGAACUGAGACACGGCCCAGACUCCUACGGGAGGCAGCAGUGGGGAAUUUUGGACAAUGGGCGCAAGCCUGAUCCAGCCAUGCCGCGUGCAGGAUGAAGGCCUUCGGGUUGUAAACUGCUGUUGUACGGAACGAAAGUCCUUCUUUUAAUACGGGAGGGUCAUGACGGUACCGUAAGAGUAAGCACCGGCUAACUACGUG
rnacentral:rRNA from 1 species